AAAAAGCAACACGGGUGCCGUGUCUCCCUCCACAAAAAAGCUAAGGUAAAACUGUUCGACACUUCGUCCUAGGAUGAAGGGAAGACGGUCUUACUCUGAUGCUGUACGAGGGAUUGACGCCGAGCUGAGAUCAUACCGUCGUUAGCGGAUCAGGAUAAUGCCUGCGUCGCUAGUUGCUUUUUACGUUGA
rnacentral:ncRNA from 1 species